UACGAAGGGGGCUAGCGUUGCUCGGAAUCACUGGGCGUAAAGCGCACGUAGGCGGAUUGCUAAGUCAGGGGUGAAAUCCUGGAGCUCAACUCCAGAACUGCCUUUGAUACUGGCGACCUUGAGUCCGGGAGAGGUUAGUGGAAUUCCCAGUGUAGAGGUGAAAUUCGUAGAUAUUGGGAAGAACACCAGUGGCGAAGGCGGCUAACUGGUCCGGUACUGACGCUGAGGUGCGAAAGCGUGGGGAGCAAACAGG
rnacentral:rRNA from 1 species